UGAGGAAUAUUGGUCAAUGGGCGGAAGCCUGAACCAGCCAAGUCGCGUGAGGGAAGACGGUCCUAUGGAUUGUAAACCUCUUUUGCCGGGGAGCAAGCCGGGUCUGCGGACCCGCGUUGAGAGUACCCGGAGAAAAAGCAUCGGCUAACUCCGUGCCAGCAGCCGCGGUAAUACGGAGGAUGCGAGCGUUAUCCGGAUUUAUUGGGUUUAAAGGGUGCGUAGGCGGAUUGUUAAGUCAGUGGUCAAAACGGGAGGCUCAACCUUCUGUCGCCAUUGAAACUGGCAGUCUUGAGUGAGCGAGAAGUAUGCGGAAUGCGUGGUGUAGCGGUGAAAUGCAUAGAUAUCACGCAGAACUCCGAUUG
rnacentral:rRNA from 1 species